rnacentral:rRNA from 1 species
UACGUAGGGUGCGAGCGUUAAUCGGAAUUACUGGGCGUAAAGCGUGCGCAGGCGGUUCGUUGUGUCCGUCGUGAAAGCCCCGGGCUUAACCUGGGAACUGCGAUGGAAACUAGCGAGCUGGAGUGUGGCAGAGGGGGGUGGGAAUUCCGCGUGUAGCAGUGAAAUGCGUAGAGAUGCGGAGGAACACCGAUGGCGAAGGCAGCCCCCUGGGCUAACACUGACGCUCAGGCACGAAAGCGUGGGGAGCAAACAGG